GACGAACGCUGGCGGCGUGCCUAAUACAUGCAAGUCGAGCGGAGAAUUUGGAGCUUGCUCCAGAUUCUUAGCGGCGGACGGGUGAGUAACACGUGGGCAACCUGCCCUGCAGAUCGGGAUAACUCCGGGAAACCGGUGCUAAUACCGAAUAGUUUGUUUCACCUCCUGGUGAAACACGGAAAGACGGUUUCGGCUGUCACUGCAGGAUGGGCCCGCGGCGCAUUAGCUAGUUGGUGGGGUAACGGCCCACCAAGGCGACGAUGCGUAGCCGACCUGAGAGGGUGAUCGGCCACACUGGGACUGAGACACGGCCCAGACUCCUACGGGAGGCAGCAGUAGGGAAUCUUCCGCAAUGGACGAAAGUCUGACGGAGCAACGCCGCGUGAGUGACGAAGGUUUUCGGAUCGUAAAACUCUGUUGUGAGGGAAGAACAAGUACCAACUAACUACUGGUACCUUGACGGUACCUCACCAGAAAGCCACGGCUAACUACGUGCCAGCCGCCGCCGUAACAC
rnacentral:rRNA from 1 species